rnacentral:rRNA from 1 species
AGAGUUUGAUCCUGGCUCAGAACGAACGCUGGCGGCAGGCCUAACACAUGCAAGUCGAGCGCGCCUUCGGGUGAGCGGCGGACGGGUUAGUAACGCGUGGGAACGUGCCCUUUUCUACGGAAUAGCCUCUGGAAACGGAGAGUAAUACCGUAUACGCCCUUUGGGGGAAAGAUUUAUCGGAGAAGGAUCGGCCCGCGUUAGAUUAGGUAGUUGGUGGGGUAACGGCCUACCAAGCCUACGAUCUAUAGCUGGUUUUAGAGGAUGAUCAGCAACACUGGGACUGAGACACGGCCCAGACUCCUACGGGAGGCAGCAGUGGGGAAUCUUAGACAAUGGGGGCAACCCUGAUCUAGCCAUGCCGCGUGAGUGAUGAAGGCCUUAGGGUCGUAAAGCUCUUUCGCCUGUGAUGAUAAUGACAGUAGCAGGUAAAGAAACCCCGGCUAACUCCGUGCCAGCAGCCGCGGUAAUACGGAGGGGGUUAGCGUUGUUCGGAAUUACUGGGCGUAAAGCGCGCGUAGACGGAUUAGAAAGUUGGGGGUGAAAUCCCGGGGCUCAACCCCGGAACUGCCUCCAAAACUGCUAGUCUAGAGUUCGAGAGAGGUGAGUGGAAUUCCGAGUGUAGAGGUGAAAUUCGUAGAUAUUCGGAGGAACACCAGUGGCGAAGGCGGCUCACUGGCUCGAUACUGACGCUGAGGUGCGAAAGUGUGGGGAGCAAACAGGAUUAGAUACCCUGGUAGUCCACACCGUAAACGAUAAAUGCCAGUCGUCGGAUAGUAUACUAUUCGGUGACACACCUAACGGAUUAAGCAUUCCGCCUGGGGAGUACGGUCGCAAGACUAAAACUCAAGGAAUUGACGG